GAUUAAAAGUUCAAACCGUAUUACUUCGUCUGUCUCUUCGUUUUUAAUUCCGGUGUGAAGAAAAUUAGAAGAACAAUUCCGGUGCGAGUAGCGGCUUAAAGGAUUUUCUUCAUCUCCCACCAAACCUUCAUAGCGAGUAGCGGCUUAAAGGAUUCACUGCAAUCACCGCCAAAGAUUGAGACCAAUUGAGAGCAAUUGCCUGACAAGUAAAAUCAAGGUACAUUAUCAAAGGCAGGAGCCGCAGGACUGCAUCAAUUGCACAAGGAAGUGCCAACUUUGUCAGUGAUGGAAAUAUGGCGUCAUUUCACUCGGAGAAAUGUUGAAGAACCCUCUUGCAAUUACUGUGGAAGGACUUAUAGGGCUAACAUGUCCAGAA